AAGUCGUAACAAGGUUUCCGUAGGUGAACCUGCGGAAGGAUCAUUAACACGUAUCCAACGUUAAAAACCCCGUGAACCUUUAUCGCCGCUCCUCAUGGCUAAGUCUUGGAUAAAGCCAACACAGCAAUCCCUGCACUCGUCGAGAAAAUGUAAAGAGGAGGGACCUCUGUUUGGUAGACGGAUUUCGCUUGACGAUCACUAGAGGUCGAUUACCGACCGGUGGAACAAGUCACAGGGCUUCGGCUCCCUCCCCAACCCCACUUUCUAUUGCCGCUCCGCGCUAACAACGCCGGGCAUUCAAAAACGUUUAAACAACUGUUAACAAUGGAUAUCUUGGUUCUC
rnacentral:misc_RNA from 1 species